UACGUAGGGUGCGAGCGUUAUCCGGAAUCAUUGGGCUUAAAGGGCUCGUAGGCGGUUCAGCAAGUCGGCUGUGAAAGUUUGCGGCUCAACCUCGGAAUUGCAGUCGAUACUGCUGUGACUCGGGUCCGGUAGAGGUGAAUGGAAUUCUCGGUGUAGCGGUGAAAUGCGCAGAUAUCGAGAGGAACACCAGUAGCGAAGGCGGUUCGCUGGGCCGGCACUGACGCUGAGGAGCGAAAGCGUGGGGAGCAAACAGG
rnacentral:misc_RNA from 1 species